rnacentral:lncRNA from 1 species
AUAAAACCAAAUACCAGUCAAAGAACAUUAUUCAAUCCAACACGAAACAAUAUUCAGAACAACAAUAUAAUAAACAAAUAAAGAGAAAAGAGGCAUCGUUAGAGCGCAGAAAUGCAUAGAUAUGUUUUUAAGAAAAUAAAACUUAAUAACAAAAAUUGGAGGUAACAAAGGCUGUCAGCGAUGUCGCUUCGACGGUUUUCACCGGAGUAGCGCCGGUGGAAAUAAAAUCUGGCCCAGAUCUGGCUAUGUAUGGUAAGGCAGUGAUGGUUCAUUUCGACAAAAGAAUCGCCCGUCGGUGACCAAUUUCGACGAGACGCGGGGAAAGGGGAAGGAAAAGAGGAAAAUGGGGAUUUCUACCGGAGUCGUUGUUAGCUGGUGGCAUGGUUGUCGUCGUUGGAGAUUUAAGGAUGGAUGGUUAUUGGGAGUUUGAGGGUGGUGGUGGCAGCCGUGUGGUGGUGGCGUAGCUGUAUCUCGCCAUUCACAACUCCGACGAGCCAACGGCGAUAAAGAUCAAAGAGAGGUAGUGCGUGUGGCGUUGUUUCGCCGGAUUCCGUCAUUGGAGCAAUAUAUGAGGUGGUUUUCUGGUCCUGAGUAAGAGAAUAUGAGGAAAAAGAAAGGGGAAACGGGUUGUGUAUGUAUUUGUGCGUGUUUUGUGGAUUUUUAGAGAAAAAGAAAAAUAGAUGUAUGUGUUUUUUUUGUAUAUUUUGGAAGGAAAAAUAAAAAUUGAUUUUAAUGUUUAAGAGAAAAAAGAUGAACCAAAUUUGUGUGUAUAUUUUUUUUAGAGAAAAGUAGAAAAGGAGGACAGAUA